rnacentral:hammerhead_ribozyme from 1 species
AUCCAGCCGACGAGUCCAAAAUAGAAUGAAUCGAGCGUCCUGGAU